ACCCUCUGCAGUGAGGUGCACAAGCUCUGCAGGUCCUCCGUCCUCCUGAAGCUCCUUCUGGCUCCCCUGGCAGCCUCGCCAGGUAGCCAGCAAUGUUUGGCAUGGCUGCAGGAACCCUGGAGAUCACCUGUGGUGUUAAUGCCCCUGCUGUAAGGGGAGAGAAGCACCACUGCAUCUGAGAUUUCUGCUCGCCUUUCUCUCCGACUAACGCAGCCCCAUCACCUUUACAUCUCCUGCUUGCUUUGGUGUCUUCUCCGUUCCGCAGGGCGAUGUUGGCCCCGAGCUGUGUGGAGGGAGAAGGAACCUCUCCGGGUCCUGCCAAACGGAGGCGGACGUGCGCAGUAUCGGCAGCGGGUGACUCACGGCAAUUUCAUAAAGGCAUCACGUGGUCUUUAACAAGCUGGCACAACCCUCUGCAUGCACGCAAGCUUGGGACAUCCCCUUCUGCCCAAGGAGAGAUGGAGAACCCUGCUGCCACCCCCUGCCCACCCGACUUUGGGAUAACGUGUCACAGGCUGCCAGGACUCUCGGGAACAACCCUCUCCAUCCACACGCAGCUCCGACCCGGACACCUCUGGUAGCUGAAGGUUAAGCAGUUUGAGAUCUAGCUGGCUGUCUUUAAAAAUGAACUCUGAAUCAGGCUGGCAAAGGUUGCACCUGUAACUCUGGCGGCACAGCUGCAUGUUACCCAUGCCCUUGAGCCGCACUGGGCAGUAGGUGAGAGAGGCUCAGGGAAACCAGCCUUUUCCUGCUGCAGUCAGGCUGAAGCCAGCCUGCUCUGCCACGACUUGUUUCAGAGCACAAAGUGCCCAGUGCUGAGCUUCAGCGGUGCUUGACCUAGGAUCUGGGUGACAGCCUCCUGGGGACCGCACCACUCCCGCCCCUGAUCUCUCACGCGAUGCUCAUCUGUUUUUUAAGACACAAGUCUCAAUGUGCCAAUAAGUGUCCCUGAAAAU